rnacentral:rRNA from 1 species
CCUACGGGAGGCUGCAGUGGGGAAUAUUGCACAAUGGGGGAAACCCUGAUGCAGCGACGCCGCGUGAGUGAAGAAGUAUUUCGGUACGUAAAGCUCUAUCAGCAGGGAAGAAAAUGACGGUACCUGACUAAGAAGCCCCGGCUAACUACGUGCCAGCAGCCGCGGUAAUACGUAGGGGGCAAGCGUUAUCCGGAUUUACUGGGUGUAAAGGGAGCGUAGACGGCAGCGCAAGUCUGGAGUGAAAUCCCAUGGCUUAACCAUGGAACUGCUUUGGAAACUGUGCAGCUAGAGUGCAGGAGAGGUAAGCGGAAUUCCUAGGGUAGCGGUGAAAUGCGUAGAUAUUAGGAGGAACACCAGUGGCGAAGGCGGCUUACUGGACUGUAACUGACGUUGAGGCUCGAAAGCGUGGGGAGCAAACAGGAUUAGAUACCCCAGUAGUC